UCUAAUAGAUGAGCAAAGAAAGUGGUUUCUUAAGAUGGAAUCUACUCCUGGUGAAGACGCUGUGAA
rnacentral:pre_miRNA from 1 species